CUAACAUGGAGCAUCUGAGUAACACUUAUUUUAUAGCCAGUCGCACUGAUGGUGUUCCCACCCAUUAAACUCAGUCAAACCCAGGUGCUGAAUUUUCCUCUUCGAUUUCGAUCGGUUUCUUUUAAAGGACAAGCUUGAUUCGCCUUUCACAGCAGAUUUAAGACGAGAAUACGCAUCAGAAACUCGGGAAGUAACAUUUCUUUUAGAAGGUGUUCUGUCUAUUAGUCCCUUGCGAGAGGAAACUUCUUCAAUAUCGAAAAACUCUAUAUCAUUUGCAGAAUUUUUUAAAGUGCUUUUACUACUCCUUCUAUUGGCUCGUUUUUGAGCAACAAGCUUCUGAAUUGCGGCGCAUUCUAAUCUGUAUUGCGAAUUGCUAAGUUCCUCACCAAGUGCACCUCUUGCAAGCCGUGCAGGGGAGGAUGGUGAGGCAUAACGACUAUGGUUUGAAGAAAGACCAAAACCCUGCUUUCCAACGCUGUUUAGCUGUUUCGAAACCGAAUAUUUAUGAAAUCUUAACUUUAAUGGAGAGAUUGGUGAAAGUAAAGGACUUGAAUCACCAAUGGAGUUCGAUGCCGCUUCCAACAGCCAUGGCGAAUGCUGCGAAAUGUUUUUGUCCCAAGGUGAUACUGGCGACUUUAACUCUUUAUAUAUGGCAUUGAUCAGUUCGUCAGAUAUAUGAUGUGAUAGCUUCAGUGAAUUAGAGGUGCUAUCUCCAGAACUUGACCUUGUUCUAUCGCUUUGAUCAUCACUGCCAUCAAUGAAACAGCUGGUUUUUAUAUUAUGGAGUUGCAAGGUUGCUGGUUUUUUCCUUAUACCAUUCAUUGUAAGUUUAAAAGCAAUUAAUCUGCUUGAUAAAAAAAUUAAUUGACUAUUUUGUACUUAAUAAUGAAGCUAGGAGAUCUCUGUAUUCAAUUAUUGUUAAAUCCUACGAUUCUUAUUUCAAUGAAUCAAGAAAUAAUAUAUCGUUAGUAAGAUAACUUUUAUUUACAGUAGGCCACGAGUUAGCGUGUUAUAUACAAGACUGAGAU